rnacentral:rRNA from 1 species
AGAUUGAACGCUGGCGGCAGGCCUAACACAUGCAAGUCGAGCGGCAGCACGGGUACUUGUACCUGGUGGCGAGCGGCGGACGGGUGAGUAAUGCCUAGGAAUCUGCCUGGUAGUGGGGGAUAACGCUCGGAAACGGACGCUAAUACCGCAUACGUCCUACGGGAGAAAGCGAGGGGACCUUCGGGCCUUGCGCUAUCAGAUGAGCCUAGGUCGGAUUAGCUAGUUGGUGAGGUAAUGGCUCACCAAGGCGACGAUCCGUAACUGGUCUGAGAGGAUGAUCAGUCACACUGGAACCGAGACACGGUCCA